GUUUUUUGGCCAUUUUUCCGCUGGGGGGUCUUGGGACCCCGAACUUCGGGGGCUGUUUUUUGGGUGCGGCUGUGCCCGUGGCCUAUUUUUGGCACACGGAGGCCGCCCGCCAAGUCUGGUGCCAUUCCGAGUCCCAUGGACGAACUUCGCCCACGCCCCCCACCAAGGCUAUAGCCCACCCGUUUUUUGGCCAUUUUUCCGCUGGGGGGUCUUGGGACCCCGAACUUCGGGGGCUGUUUUUUGGGUGCGGCUGUGCCCGUGGCCUAUUUUUGGCACAUGGAGGCCGCCCGCCAAGUCUGGUGCCAUUCCGAGUCCCGCGGACGAACAUAGCCCACGCCCCCCACCAAGGCUAUAGCCCACCCGUGUUUUGGCCAUUUUUCCGCUGGGGGGUCUUGGGACCCCGAACUUCGGGGGCUGUUUUUUUGGCGCGGCUGUGCCCGGGGCCUAUUUUUGGCACACGGAGGCCGCCCGCCAAGUCUGGUGCCAUUCCGAGUCCUGCGGACGAACUUCGCCCACGCCCCCCACCAAGGCUAUAGCCCACCCGUUUUUUGGCCAUUUUUCCGCUGGGGGGUCUUGGGACCCCGAACUUCGGGGGCUGUUUUUUGGGUGCGGCUGUGCCCGUGGCCUAUUUUUGGCACACGGAGGCCGCCCGCCAAGUCUUGUGCCAUUCCGAGUCCCAUGGACGAACUUCGCCCACGCCCCCCACCAAGGCUAUAGCCCACCCGUUUUUUGGCCAUUUUUCCGAGACCCCGAACUUCGGGGGCUGUUUUUUGGCCGCGGCUGUGCCCGUGGCCUAUUUUUGGCACACGGAGGCCGCCCGCCAAAUCUGGUGCCAUUCCGAGUCCCGCGGACGAACUUCGCCAACGCACCCCACCAAGGCGAUAGCCCACCCGUUUUUUGGCCAUUUUUCCGCUGGGGGGUCUUGGGACCCCGAACUUCGGGGGCUGUUUUUUGGGCGCGGCUGUGCCCGUGGCCUAUUUUUGGCACACGGAGGCCGCCCGCCAAGUCUGGUGCCAUUCCGAGUCCCGCGGACGAACUUCGCCCACGCCCCCCACCAAGGCUAUAGCCCACCCGUUUUUUGGCCAUUUUUCCGCUGGGGGGUCUUGGGACCCCGAACUUCGGGGGUUGUUUUUUGGGCGCGGCUGUGCCCGUGGCCUAUUUUUGGCACACGGAGGCCGCCGCCAAGUCUGGUGCCAUUCCGAGUCCCACGGACGAACUUCGCCCACGCCCCCCACCAAGGCUAUAGCCCACCGUUUUUUGGCCAUUUUUCCGCUGGGGGGUCUUGGGACCCCGAACUUCGGGGGCUGUUUUUUGGGCGCGGCUGUGCCCGGGGCCUAUUUUUGGCACACGGAGGCCGCCCGCCAAGUCUGGUGCCAUUCCGAGUCCUGCGGACGAACUUCGCCCACGCCCCCCACCAAGGCUAUAGCCCACCCGUUUUUUGGCCAUUUUUCCGCUGGGGGGUCUUGGGACCCCGAACUUCGGGGGCUGUUUUUUGGGCGCGGCUGUGCCCGUGGCCUAUUUUUGGCACACGGAGGCCGCCCGCCAAGUCUGGUGCCAUUCCGAGUCCCGCGGACGAACUUCGCCCACGCCCCCCACCAAGGCUAUAGCCCACCCGUUUUUUGGCCAUUUUUCCGAGACCCCGAACUUCGGGGCUGUUUUUUGGGCGCGGCUGUGCCCGUGGCCUAUUUUUGGCACACGGAGGCCGCCCGCCAAGUCUGGUGCCAUUCCGAGUCCCGCGGACGAACUUCGCCAACGCACCCCACCAAGACUAUAGCCCACCCGUUUUUUGGCCAUUUUUCCGCUGGGGGGUCUUGGGACCCCGAACUUCGGGGCUGUUUUUUGGGCGCGGCUGUGCCCGUGGCAUAUUUUUGGCACACGGAGGCCGCCCGCCAAGUCUGGUGCCAUUCCGAGUCCCGCGGACGAACUUCGCCCACGCCGCCCACCAAGGCUAUUGCCCCCCCGUUUUUUGGCCAUUUUUCCGAGACCCCGAACUUCGGGGGCUGUUUUUUGGGCGCGGCUGUGCCCGUGGCCUAUUUUUGGCACGCGGAGGCCGCCCGCCAAGUCUGGUGCCAUUCCAAGUCCCGCGGACGAACUUCGCCCACGCCCCCCACCAAGGCUAUAGCCCACCCGUUUUUUGGCCAUUUUUCCGAGACCCCGAACUUCGGGGGCUGUUUUUUGGGCGCGGCUGUGCCCGUGGCCUAUUUUUGGCACACGGAGGCCGCCCGCCAAGUCUGGUGCCAUUCCAAGUCCCGCGGACGAACUUCACCCACGCCCCCCACCAAGGCUAUAGCCCACCCGUUUU
rnacentral:lncRNA from 1 species